AUCCCAUGAUACAGACAUCUUCUAAGUAGUUCUUUAAACCUCUCCCAAGCUUCAUACAAGGAUUCACCAUUAAAUUGUGUGAAUGAGGUGAUAUUGUCCCUCAUUUU
rfam:Theobroma cacao cultivar Matina 1-6 chromosome 4, whole genome shotgun sequence.